UACGAAGGGGGCUAGCGUUGCUCGGAAUCACUGGGCGUAAAGCGCACGUAGGCUGGUCGUUAAGUCGGGGGUGAAAUCCUGGAGCUCAACUCCAGAACUGCCUUCGAUACUGGCGACCUUGAGUCCGGGAGAGGUGAGUGGAACUCCGAGUGUAGAGGUGAAAUUCGUAGAUAUUCGGAAGAACACCAGUGGCGAAGGCGGCUCACUGGCCCGGUACUGACGCUGAGGUGCGAAAGCGUGGGGAGCAAACAGG
rnacentral:rRNA from 1 species